ensembl:lncRNA
GGGAGAGCAGUAGCAGGGUUAGUAGCUUCCUGUAUCUGUGAGGUCAGAGUGAGAUGGGAGGGAGAGCAGUAGCAGGGUUAGUAGUUUCCUGGGUCUGUGAGGUCAGAGUGAGAUGGGAGGGAGAGCAGUAGCAGGGUUAGUAGUUUCCUGGGUCUGUGAGGUCAGAGUGAGAUGGGAGGGACCGCUCAAUCUAUCAAGCGCAAUGAGGAGAGCGCUGUCUCGUUCAUGGCCGACUAGAUUGUAUUUGAGUUGCACGCAGCAACAAAUGGGCAUCAUAUUGCUAUAUCAUAUGAUGUGUGUAAACUGAUAUGUUAAACACCAAUCCAGGAGUUGUGAAAUCUGGC